rnacentral:lncRNA from 1 species
GUGCUCGGAUGGUGUAUGUGUUCGACACCCUCUGAUGCUCGAGCUCUAAGCUCGGCCCAGAACAGGAGCCCCCCAAGUCGUUAUGCUCGUAGGCGAGGGUAAUGACUUGAAGCUUUAUCGAUUCAUCGUGAUUUACCGAACGUACCAGAUCCGAGUUGGGCAGCUGAAUUUUCGCCGUGUCCCUGUGGUCAAAGUCAAGCUUUGGAAAGGGAAAAUCGUUUAUUCCAAGUGGUCAAUCCUAGGUUUCUGCAGCCGCCUCUCGCAUUUAUGGGAUGUCAGGUGUGGUGACUGGUCCUUUGGGUGGCAAGUUUUGCUAUAAAUACUUGCUUAUCCUUUGGCUUCCCAUAUUCUGAGUUUGAAGGCUAGUGAUGGAUAAUAGGGAUUCCAAGAAGGUUGUUGCUGAUGGCUCUGAGUCUCGAAGAGGGAAAAAGAGAGCAGAAGUUCCUAAGCCUGCACCGGCUCGUUCUCAAAAGGGGAAAGAAGCUAAGGUGAUGUUCCCUUCCUCGGAUACUUCUGAUACCUCAAGUUCCGACGAAUCGGCGGAUUUCAUUGNNNNNNNNNNNNNNNNNNNNNNNNNNNNNNNNNCCUGCCCCUGGUGAAGGAGGGUCCCAGGUUGGGAAAGAGGCUAAGAUAUGGCCAGAGGAGGUGCUGUGGACUGAUUCGGAUUCCGCGAUUAGUUCAGGUUCCGAGCACGAGGAUUAGGUGCUCGGUUCCCUUUGUAAUCCUCUUCCCUUUGUAAUGGACUAUCAUUAAUAAAAUAAUUCUCUUUUGAUUUUUCCGAGCAUAAUUUAUUUGCACUCAUGCUUUAUGUAUGCUCUUAAUUUAAUAAUGUCGCGGAUUUUCCGAAUGAUUCCGAGCGGACUUUUUGGUCGAAACCGGACUUCUUUUUCGAGCAUGUUUUUGACUUUAUGAAUUCGUCGAUGAGCGCGGUGUUCUUAUUCGGUUGCUGCGGCCUUCCCCGUAUUUUUAGCAAGGAAAUAAGGGGAAUGGGUUCCGAGGAUCUUGCAUUACCUUUUUUGGUUGCGAUUUUCUCGGGAUGUGGUGUCUUGGAUUUCGCGAGAUUUGCGCGAGCAGACGGAUGUGACUUGAAAGGACGAGUCGCUUCGUUUCCUUUCGCCACGUGUAAAGACUAUUCACAUAGCACUUGAGUGGCUAUAGCUGAGAUUUGAAUCUCGAGGUCGUUUUGAACCGUUGGAUUUUCGCGCCUUUUCGUUUAUCCUGAGAUUAAAUCUGAGCCACUUGAUCGCGAUUGAUCCGGACCGUUGGAUCGAUCCUGUGGUUCAGAUGGGAGCGGCGCGGGUUUUCUUGUACGGUCGCGUUGGCCUAUAUAUAGGAGGGAGGUUUUUUCGUUUGAA